CAAAACAACUGCCAGCAGGAACGCCGCCACAUCGAUGGAGUGGUACUGGAUUGUGGACAUCUUGUAAGACUCUGUCCUUAGGUGGGCCGCUCCUUUGUGCCUCAUGACAAACUCGAUCCAGAACAUGGCCUGGUCCAGCGGCUUCAUGGGCUGAUCUCGGUGCAGGCUAGACAGAACCUUCAUCUUCUCCCUGUAGGAUGGUUGGUACAGGACCUCCUUCAGCGCCUCCAGGAAGUUGUCUUUGUUCACCGUCGCCAAGUCCAGGACUUUGGCCACACCUCUGGCUUUCAUCCUGAAGAAGUUGUCGGGUUGGUCGAACAUGAGCGGCAGUCCCACCAGGGGGACGCCAUGGUAGAUGGCCUCCUGCAUGCCAUUUGUGCCUCCGUGUGCCACGAACACCCUGGUUUUGGGGUGACCCAGGAGGUCGUUCUGGGGCAACCAUUCCACCAUUAAGGUGUUGUUUCCCAGCGUGGACGGUCUUUUGCCUUUGUGCCUCCAGAUCACCUUCUGGGGAAGCUGUGCGAAGGCAGCAGCGAUGUCCUCUGUUAUGUCCUCAGGAAGUUUUUCCACCAGGGUCCCCAGCGUCAUCACGAUGACUCCGUGUUCACCGGAACUCUGAACGAAAUCCUCCAGUUCUUUGGGCAAGGGCUUGGCGGGUUUGCACUGGAAUCCCGACAUGUAGACGAUGUUGGGCAUGGUGGGUCGCGGCCACUCGAAGGUGAAGUCAUUCCUCAUGAGCCAGAUGUCGGCCGACUGGAACAGCUCCAUGUAGUGGACGUCCGGGCCAAAGUGGCGAUGGACAAACGGGGUGUAGUUUGGGUCUGUGACAUACCAAAAUUGAAAACUUGUGAGGAAGUAGAUCAACAUGUUCUGGACCCGCUCGGUGAAAGUCAUUUUGUCAGUCAAUUCUGACCAGGGCAUUGGGACAUAGGAUAGUGGAGUAGGUGCGAUUGCUUGAUGCCCUUCACCCUGAACAGUCCAUCUUACAUUAAGGACGAGUGGAAGACCCAAACGGUGAGCCAGAAAAACUCCUCCACCGUAUGUAGGGUCCGUCAGGACCAAAUCGUACUUGGCAUCACGGAGGCUCUGCAUCAGUUUGUCGUCUGCAAACACUUCCUCCGUCAUUACAAGCAGCAGCCUGUGCAGUGCGUGCAACUCAUUCACCAUUUCAAUGUCCAGAGCCAUACGAGUCCAAAAUGAUGCCCCUCGCCGUCGCAGCGCCAGUGUUCUCGUUACAUAUUCGUCCAAGUUGUCCUUAUCAAGACCAGACGCAACAUUCAGUGUGAUGGACUUGUAGUGAGGAGAAUCCUGCCUGAUGAACCAGGCAUCUGGUGGACGUAUCACAGUGACUUCAUGACCUCUGGAGUUAAGCUCCUCGACGAGGACAUUCAUGUUGAUCCAGUGACUUCCAUCCACAGGGAACACCAAGACCUUCCCUCCAUUCACCAAAGCUGCAGAGCAGAGCAGCGCUGCAAGCACCACGAAAGUGGGUCGGUACAUUUCUGAAAUAGAUUCUGACAAGAUAUAUAAGAAUGUUAGAUCUGUCCUUUUCAACAAGGGACUUGAGUUCAAGAAUGUUCAUAAGUUCCACAAACAAUGAGCACUCUGAGAUGUGUCUGAUAUUGUACCCAGAGCCUGAUUGUUUAGUCAGGGCAAUGAACUCAUAUUCAGCUUUCUAACUGACUUUUUAACUAAACAUACAAAAUAAUUUUUUCCAUAGAACAUCCUGCUCCUCCCUGGUACAGCAACACCUUGUUUGAGGUCUUUUCAUUCUUCUGGUAAUUACCCACCGUUUGACACAUUUGUAUAGCACCUUCCUAGUGCCACAUUUGGCACAACCUAAUUGUUUCAGACAAUAUGAGCCCAUUGAAUGAUUUAUCAUUUCAGUGUUUCCUCUCCAUUCAUUCAGCAGUGGCAGGCCGCCAUUCCUACAUCGUAACUGCCACUCCUUCAAAUUUAUUUCUUUCUUUUUUUGCUAUUGUCGCAAAUACACCACCGCCACAUGUCUCCACCUUCACAGCAAAGUUCCGCAUUGUGCCGGGUACUCGCGAGUAUUAAGGUAAACCACAGAUAACUAUCUUGCUCAAUAUCUACUUUUGGUACGCCGGCACCAGGCACCAGGUCAGAGAGUCGGAGGAGUGCCGUCUUGCAAAAUAGGACAGCAACUUAACGGAGAAAAACUAUUAGCUGAAGAUCAUUCUUAAUAUAUUUUACAAGUUAAAUACACAUUCCUAAAAUAUUGGUGGCCAGCAAACUUUACGUAACAUAUCGGUAGCUUUAGUUAAUCGGGUCCAGUGCCAACUCAGUGUCGCUAACGUGAGUAAACUAAUUGAUAGCAUUAAGCUAAUAUCUACACACCGUGAUAUAACUGCUGACUGCGUUUUCAGAUGAGCUUGUUCAAAUAUUUUUUUAAAUUUCUUUUUAUAUUCAGCCUUUAAAAAGCUAUUUUCAACUGGCCCUUCAAUAAAUAGGUUGUACAAUUAAAAUCUGCUGUCAAGCGUCAUUGGUUUGCGCAUCACGGCUCCCGAAGACCCUGCCGCCACUGCUUAAAAAAAUCCGAAAGGAAACACUACAUUUCCAUACAUAUGAUCCAGUCAGGAUCUUCUAGAUUCAUGGAGCUCUGCUGCAGUUAAUUUAAUGGGCAAGUCACAAUUUUGCACUUGCAAUGAGGAACCACAUGUGAAGGUCGGAGGGGUCAAUGAAGGCAAAAGUCCCAUGUUGUACCAUACCUAUACGUUAUCUCACAAAAGUGAGUACACCCCUAACAUUUCUGCAAAUAUUUGAUUAUAUCUUUUCUUGGACAACAAUGAAGAAAUUACACUUAUACGAUGUAAAGUGGUCGGUGUACAACUGGUGUGACUGUGUAAAUUUACUGUCCCCUCAAAAUAAGUCAACAUACAGCCGUUAAUGUCUAAACCACUGGCAACAAAAUUGAGUAUUCCCCAAUUGAAAAUGUCCAAACUGUACUAGUGAGUUGAUGACACAAAUGGAGCCCAGUGGACAACAGUCCUUUGCUGUUAUUGUUGCUUCAAACAAUAUGUAUUCAAGAUUUAUGUGUUUAUGGGGGUCGAAGUUCGUUGCACAGUGAAUUAGGACAAACUGGAAUCAUAAAAUACUCAGCUGAGGGCUCGUGCUGUUGAGUUUGUUAGAGCCAAAGAGCAGUUUCUUGAGGUUUAAACUGCGAGUACCGCAAAUAAUGAUGAUAAAUGUGUGGGUUUUGUGGCAUUUUAAAGACUUGAAAAUGCUUUAAAUGCCUUACAAAAAGUUUUGAAAUUGUUGUAAACAAACAUUUGUGCCAGAUUUGAGUUCACCAGCUGCAAUAAACUACACACACUGCACCUUUUCAUGUUUGGUUUGCACUAAGUAACCAGGAUCCUGUGCAAUAAAAUACAUGAAAGGUCAUGUUCUGUCAGUGAAAGCCAAGAAAAGUCUCUCAAAGUCAGACAGUUUUUGCUCUUGUUUUUUUUUAUGGAUUACACCACAAGAAAUCAUUCUGUGAGCUGACAGACGAUCUGACAGCAUGAGAACACGUCAGAAUAUUUAGUGCCAUAAAACGGUGCAAUUAAUUAGUUUUUUGUCGGUACAAACUUUACUCAUCUCAAAUUUUCCAUCACUGUUUUGUUUGCCGCAAUGAUAAAUUUUUUUGUGAAGCAUUUAGAACAUCUUCAAGUAUUUAAAAAGUCCAUAAAACCAACACAAUUUUCAUUUUGUUAGUGCAAGUUUAGUAGUAGAUUAAACUUGUGAAAUCUGCUGCUUUAAUUUCUGAAGCUCGGCUCCUGUCGUUGUCAAUAGGAAAAAUCCGGACUCUGUAGCAUCCAGCUGGUUUCAACUCAUCACAGGCGAGUUAAACACAACAACAGCUUCAGGGAAAGUUGUUAAGCUUCACACACCAGCAGCCUCGUCACAGUUUCUGCUUGUAAAACUCCUGGACUCUCAUAUGUGAACUUACCGUGAGUCUACGGCUGACAGGUCUUCAGACUGAACUCGUAGUUUGAUGUCCAGCCUUCGUCCCUGCAGAGUAUCCGACUGAAGGGUGACGACUCCGAGGAAGCAGGACUUCAGUACAUAUGCACUGAAAUAACACCAGUUCACAACAUGGGUCAUAUCUUGGCCCUUCACAUAGUAACAUUAACCUCAGUUCAACUGAUAAGGUUUUUUUUUAUGGUGUGAUUGGAAGUUAAAGGUAAUCACAGCAUUUAACCAAACAGUGCGCUGCCUCAUGACCUCCAUAACUUCAUUGGCUGACUUUACACGACAAAUAAAUUACAUAUUAAAACAAAUACCCUGAGGUGACGGCGCACUAAUAGAACCUGGCUUAUAAAAAUGACUUAAAAUAAUUCCAACUUUUAAAAACAUCAAAAAACAUCAAAAUUCAGCAUUUUUAAAAGUAGUAAUUAUUUUUUUUAAAGUUUACGACUGUAUGAUUUAAUGUAUUUAAAUCAGCUAUAAACACAAUUAACAGAUAUUUACAGUUGUAUUUACCAUUUUCACCAUUUUUAAAAAUUUGUUAGAUUUUUGUAAAAUUACACAACACAUGCCAUUUGUUACGAAAUGUAUUUUAUUUUGUUUGAAGUAGUUUAUGACAAUAGGAAGAAAAAAUGAUUCCAUAAAACUUCCUGAUUUAUUCCCUGAAGAUUGCACUUGUCACCAGAUUGUAUUUUCACAUUCACAGAUUUGAGAUGGGGCUGAUUAACCUAACCUCUAUAGACGCAAUCAUUAGAAAAUGUCAAAUUUUUGUACAACAAUUUGCACUCACAAUACACAGACAGAUUAUAAUAUCAUUCCUUUUUGACUUUGUUUCGGCCAAAUAACCUUCGCCACAGAAACUUGACUGCAGCAAUAAAAACAGCAAAUAUGAACAAAACAACUGCCAGCAGGAACGCCGCCACAUCGAUGGAGUGGUACUGGAUCAUGGACAUCUUGUAAGACUCUGUCCUUAGGUGGGCCGCUCCUUUGUGCCUCAUGACGAACUCGAUCCAGAACAUGGCCCGGUCCAGCGGCUUCAUGGGCUGAUCUCGGUGCAGGCUGGACAGAACCUUCAUCUUCUCCCUGUAGGACGGUUGGUACAGGACCUCCUUCAGCGCCUCCAGGAAGUUGUCUUUGUUCACUGUCGCCAAGUGCAGGACUUUUGCCACACCUCUGGCUUUCAUCCUGAAGACAUUGUAGGGUUGGUCGAACAUGAGCGGCAGUCCGACCACAGGGACGCCGUGGUAGAUGGCCUCCUGCAUGCCGUUGGUGCCUCCGUGGGCCACAAACACUCUGGUUUUGGGGUGACCCAGGAGGUCGUUCUGGGGCAACCAGUCCAUCAUUAAGGUGUUGUUUCCCAGCGUGGACGGUCUUUUGCCUUUGUGCCUCCAGAUCACCUUCUGGGGAAGCUGCGUGAAUGCAGCAGCAAUGUCCUCGGUGAUGUCCUCUGGAAGUUUUUCCACCAGGGUCCCCAGUGUCAUCACGAUGACUCCAUGUUCACCGGAACUCUGAACGAAAUCCUCCAGUUCUUUGGGCAGGGACUUGGCGGGUUUGCACUGGAAUCCUGACAUGUAGACGAUGUUGGGCAUGGUGGGUCGCGGCCACUCGAAGGUGAAGUCAUUCCUCAUGAGCCAGAUGUCGGCCGACUGGAACAGCUCCAUGUAGUGAAUGUCCGGGCCAAAGUGGCGAUGGACGAACGGCUUGUAGUUUGAGUCUGUGGUAUACCAAAUCUGAAAAUGGCUGAAGAAAUAGAUCAACAUGUUCUGGACCCGCUCAGUGAAAGUCAUCUUGUCAGUCAACUCUGACCAGGGUAUGGGGACGUAGGAUAGUGGACUAGGUGCAAUUGCUUGAUGCCCUUCACCCUGGACAGUCCAUCUCACAUUAAGGACUAGUGGAAGACCCAAA